ensembl:lncRNA
AUUUUUUUUAAACAACUGAAAUCAAAAAGUCAAUGUAUGUCAUACAUCCUCUACUAUGUAUAAACUAGACAACUAAUGGGAAUGUGCUCGAGAAGACUCUUGAGACUCCCUUGAACUGCAAGGAGAUCAAACCAGUCAGUUCUAAAGGAAGUCAACCCUGAAUAUUCAUUGGAAGGACUGAUGCUGAAGUUGAAGCUCCAGUACUUGGGCCACCUGAUGCGAAGAGCCAGUCUCAUUGGAAGAGACCUUGAUGGUGGGAAAGAUGGAGGGCAGGAGAAGAGGUAGGCAGAGAAGGAGACAGUUAGAUAGCAUCACUGACUCAAUGGACAUGAGUUUGAUCUUGAUACAGUUGAGCUUAUGCAGAGGGAAGAAAGGUUUUUUGUUAUUGUUGUUGUUGUUGUUGUUGUUUUCCAGGUACUAAUCCUCACAGUGUGAAGUUGGAAUGAUUAUUUAGACAUUUUGGGAAAAAGCCAACUGCCUUGAUCUGGAGGUCUCCUAAUGUCCGUCUUUUUCUCCCCAUGGCACCCAAACUCUCCCCUCCCUCUUCUUGACAGCAACAACGGUCAAAGGCAAGAAUGCUUUUGACUUCAGAGAAGUCCUUGGAGGUGGUACAGUCAGUCAGAUGCGGAAGUUGUUACCCAAAAUCUGGGUUCACCUCUUGGUGGGUGAUGAGCCAGAAGACACAACCAAGUCAAGGAUCAGGAGAUAGAAGGAUUUAUUAUUACUUGCAAAAUAGAAUGCCAAGUUUUCAGCUGGACUCAUGGCUUUCACGUUUUCAAAGUGCAUGUGUGUGCGCUCAGUCAUGAUUGACUCUUUGCGACCCCGUGGACUGUAUCGCGCCAGGCUCCUCUGCCCCAUGGAAUUUUCAAGGCGUCCUUACUACAGAGACACUUGUCCUAAACGGUGGACUGGGGAAGAAGAAAUAUGGACAGACAGGUCUCUGAACCAUACCUAAACCCUGUGUCUCAACACUGAAGUCACAAGACUGCUAACUCUCCCUGUCUUUGCAGAGAGUGAGUGAGAGGUGAGGCGCUCAGUCGUGCCUGACUCUUUGUGACCGCAUGGACUGUAGCCUGCCAGGUUCCCCUGUCCAUGGAAUUCUCCUGGCUAGAAUACUGCAGUGGGUUGCCAUUUCCUACUCCAGAGGAUCUUCGUGGCCCAGGGAUUGAACAGGCAUCUCUUGCAUUGGCAGGAGAUUCUUCACCGCUGAGUCGCUGGGGAAACCCUUGGCAGAUCAUCUAGGCUUCUAGCUUCUGUAUUGAUCUUUCCUUUUGUGCUGAUGUAAUCUCUCCUAUUUGUUAGUAUUACGUCCAGGAGAGAUAUUGACUAGAUUUCACCUCGUGUAUCAACUCAUAUAUUGAUAGUGGCUGCGCGGUGUCUGUGUUGAGAAGAAUUAUGUACACAUCUUAGACUGGGUUCCCUGAAGCAGGGAUUCUGGUGCUCUGGGUUUCUUGAGGGUAGACUCUGGAGAAAGGGAGUGAUGGAAGCCAUACAGGACGGGGAAGGAGCUUCAGAGGAGUGUGUUCUCAGUGCAGCCUAGCUUCAGCCUGAUCGCACGGGAGUGCUAGAACAGGAAUCACAUCUCAGAGUUGGUCCCACCUUGAGGCCAGAGCCCCCUUCUUUUGUGGCCCCUGAUUAGUCAGUUACUGGUUGUAGGCUGCCUUGGGGGAGCUACCUCCCACUUCAUUGAGGGUGAUUCUCUAGAGAUGAGAGCAGCUGUGAACUUGUAGUAGCUGGCAUUCAUAGUAGCUGGGAGAUGGAUAUAUGUAGUUUCUGAUAAAGAUUUGGAUGGGACACAAACAACAUUUGUUAGUCUGCAGUCACACUCAGGGGACAAGUUUUGUGAUCAAUUAGACAUAUCUUCCAUGGGUGUGGACUCUAAUCUCUGCAGCAGUUCAUGCUAUGAGAAGAGAAAGGGCUGAAAUAAGGUUUGCUCUGUCAACAUCCCUACUAAGAAGCAAACUAAAGUUAGGAAGGGCAUGGAAAUUAUAGAACAAGAUUUGUGUUAUGGCCCAACCACUGCCUUAUAACUGGAGAAGGAAAUGGCAACCUACUCGAGUAUUCUUGCCUGAGAAAUCCCAUGGACAGAGGAGCCUGGUAGGCUACAGUCCUUGAGAUCAUUAAGAGUCAGGCACAAUUUUGUGGCUAAAACAAUACAUUGCCUUAUAAAUUGAGAGCUGUUGUUCAGUUGCUCAGUCGUGUCCGACUCUUUAUGACUCCAUGGACUGCAGCAUGCCAGGCUUCCCUGUCCUUCACCACUGAAAGCUGACAUGACCUAUUUCCUCAGGAUCCAGAUGCAGAACCUGAUGGUGAAGUCCUUUGGCAGCAAGCAACAUAAUUCAUCCCUGGGUAACUUCAGCACAUUUGGGACUAUAGAAAGGAAACUGGGAGACCUUGCAGAAUCUAAGAAAGGCCAUAAUGCUGAGCAGGAAUUAGGGCUACCUCAGGAACCCCACAGCAGAAUCACAUGGACCACUUCCUAGGGUGGUGCUGUAACACUCCACCUCAACCACUUUCAGUCUCUAUACAUCUGUUUCUCUUACUCUUUUAAAUCAGCUUUUAAUUUUAGAAUGCUUUCAGAUUUACUGAAAAGUUGAAAAAAUGUUAGCAAGAUUCCCUACACCCAGUUUCUUAUUGUUAGCACUGUUAUGAUGCAUAAUCACAGUAGUGAACUGAUAUUGACACCCUCCUGCUAACGAACUUCCAUAGUUUAUUCAGAUCUCCUUAGGUUUUACCCAAUGUCAUUUUCUGUCCCAGCAUCCCACCAAGCACCAGAUACUUUUAGUAGUCAUGACUCCAUAGGCUCCUCUAGACUGUGAGUUUCCAAACUUCCCUUGUUUUUGAUAACUUUGACAGUUUUGAAGAGUGCUGCUCAGGGUUAAACCUAACCUUUAACUUUGUGUUUCUUUUAAAUUUUGGCCCAGUUUGAGUCCAAAAUCUUCCUCCUAGGAGCAAAUGACUAUUGCCAGGGGCAAAAUAGAAGCAGAACAAGGCCAUGGGGGAUCAUUGUGAAUCCCAGCCACUCCAGUUUGGAGUUUAUGCUUACAACCUGAGAUCAAAGCAGGGAUCCUCCCCUGCAAGAUUAGAUGACCUGGGUCACAGCUCCCAGCAAAAUGAUUAUGUGUGCCCCAAAAUAGUAAAAUAAGUGGCACAGAACCGAUGGCCACGGUCAAGCAAUUACAGAGAAGAAACCUCAGUGAUUCUGGCCAGAACCGAAUGUGUGACUGCUACAUACUUUAUUCUCUGCCCUAAGCUUGAAACAGUAAGGAGCUUCCUCGGUGGCCCAAUGGCUAAGACCCUGCACUCCCAAUGCAGGGGGCUCAGGUUGAUCCCUGGUCAGGGAACUAGAUCCCACAUGCCACAACUAAGACCUGGCACCACCAAACAGAACAAACUUUAAAAACAAAACAGAGAAAACAAGUCAGUGAGUCUGAAAUUCCUG